GGGUUGUGAGGUUAAGCGACUAAGCGUACACGGUGGAUGCCCUGGCAGUCAGAGGCGAUGAAGGACGUGCUAAUCUGCGAUAAGCGUCGGUAAGGUGAUAUGAACCGUUAUAACCGGCGAUUUCCGAAUGGGGAAACCCAGUGUGUUUCGACACACUAUCAUUAACUGAAUCCAUAGGUUAAUGAGGCGAACCGGGGGAACUGAAACAUCUAAGUACCCCGAGGAAAAGAAAUCAACCGAGAUUCCCCCAGUAGCGGCGAGCGAACGGGGAGCAGCCCAGAGCCUGAAUCAGUGUGUGUGUUAGUGGAAGCGUCUGGAAAGGCGCGCGAUACAGGGUGACAGCCCCGUACACAAAAAUGCACAUGCUGUGAGCUCGAUGAGUAGGGCGGGACACGUGGUAUCCUGUCUGAAUAUGGGGGGACCAUCCUCCAAGGCUAAAUACUCCUGACUGACCGAUAGUGAACCAGUACCGUGAGGGAAAGGCGAAAAGAACCCCGGCGAGGGGAGUGAAAAAGAACCUGAAACCGUGUACGUACAAGCAGUGGGAGCACGCUUAGGCGUGUGACUGCGUACCUUUUGUAUAAUGGGUCAGCGACUUAUAUUCUGUAGCAAGGUUAACCGAAUAGGGGAGCCGAAGGGAAACCGAGUCUUAACUGGGCGUUAAGUUGCAGGGUAUAGACCCGAAACCCGGUGAUCUAGCCAUGGGCAGGUUGAAGGUUGGGUAACACUAACUGGAGGACCGAACCGACUAAUGUUGAAAAAUUAGCGGAUGACUUGUGGCUGGGGGUGAAAGGCCAAUCAAACCGGGAGAUAGCUGGUUCUCCCCGAAAGCUAUUUAGGUAGCGCCUCGUGAAUUCAUCUCCGGGGGUAGAGCACUGUUUCGGCAAGGGGGUCAUCCCGACUUACCAACCCGAUGCAAACUGCGAAUACCGGAGAAUGUUAUCACGGGAGACACACGGCGGGUGCUAACGUCCGUCGUGAAGAGGGAAACAACCCAGACCGCCAGCUAAGGUCCCAAAGUCAUGGUUAAGUGGGAAACGAUGUGGGAAGGCCCAGACAGCCAGGAUGUUGGCUUAGAAGCAGCCAUCAUUUAAAGAAAGCGUAAUAGCUCACUGGUCGAGUCGGCCUGCGCGGAAGAUGUAACGGGGCUAAACCAUGCACCGAAGCUGCGGCAGCGACACUAUGUGUUGUUGGGUAGGGGAGCGUUCUGUAAGCCUGUGAAGGUGUGCUGUGAGGCAUGCUGGAGGUAUCAGAAGUGCGAAUGCUGACAUAAGUAACGAUAAAGCGGGUGAAAAGCCCGCUCGCCGGAAGACCAAGGGUUCCUGUCCAACGUUAAUCGGGGCAGGGUGAGUCGACCCCUAAGGCGAGGCCGAAAGGCGUAGUCGAUGGGAAACAGGUUAAUAUUCCUGUACUUGGUGUUACUGCGAAGGGGGGACGGAGAAGGCUAUGUUGGCCGGGCGACGGUUGUCCCGGUUUAAGCGUGUAGGCUGGUUUUCCAGGCAAAUCCGGAAAAUCAAGGCUGAGGCGUGAUGACGAGGCACUACGGUGCUGAAGCAACAAAUGCCCUGCUUCCAGGAAAAGCCUCUAAGCAUCAGGUAACAUCAAAUCGUACCCCAAACCGACACAGGUGGUCAGGUAGAGAAUACCAAGGCGCUUGAGAGAACUCGGGUGAAGGAACUAGGCAAAAUGGUGCCGUAACUUCGGGAGAAGGCACGCUGAUAUGUAGGUGAAGUCCCUUGCGGAUGGAGCUGAAAUCAGUCGAAGAUACCAGCUGGCUGCAACUGUUUAUUAAAAACACAGCACUGUGCAAACACGAAAGUGGACGUAUACGGUGUGACGCCUGCCCGGUGCCGGAAGGUUAAUUGAUGGGGUUAGCGCAAGCGAAGCUCUUGAUCGAAGCCCCGGUAAACGGCGGCCGUAACUAUAACGGUCCUAAGGUAGCGAAAUUCCUUGUCGGGUAAGUUCCGACCUGCACGAAUGGCGUAAUGAUGGCCAGGCUGUCUCCACCCGAGACUCAGUGAAAUUGAACUCGCUGUGAAGAUGCAGUGUACCCGCGGCAAGACGGAAAGACCCCGUGAACCUUUACUAUAGCUUGACACUGAACAUUGAGCCUUGAUGUGUAGGAUAGGUGGGAGGCUUUGAAGUGUGGACGCCAGUCUGCAUGGAGCCGACCUUGAAAUACCACCCUUUAAUGUUUGAUGUUCUAACGUUGACCCGUAAUCCGGGUUGCGGACAGUGUCUGGUGGGUAGUUUGACUGGGGCGGUCUCCUCCUAAAGAGUAACGGAGGAGCACGAAGGUUGGCUAAUCCUGGUCGGACAUCAGGAGGUUAGUGCAAUGGCAUAAGCCAGCUUGACUGCGAGCGUGACGGCGCGAGCAGGUGCGAAAGCAGGUCAUAGUGAUCCGGUGGUUCUGAAUGGAAGGGCCAUCGCUCAACGGAUAAAAGGUACUCCGGGGAUAACAGGCUGAUACCGCCCAAGAGUUCAUAUCGACGGCGGUGUUUGGCACCUCGAUGUCGGCUCAUCACAUCCUGGGGCUGAAGUAGGUCCCAAGGGUAUGGCUGUUCGCCAUUUAAAGUGGUACGCGAGCUGGGUUUAGAACGUCGUGAGACAGUUCGGUCCCUAUCUGCCGUGGGCGCUGGAGAACUGAGGGGGGCUGCUCCUAGUACGAGAGGACCGGAGUGGACGCAUCACUGGUGUUCGGGUUGUCAUGCCAAUGGCACUGCCCGGUAGCUAAAUGCGGAAGAGAUAAGUGCUGAAAGCAUCUAAGCACGAAACUUGCCCCGAGAUGAGUUCUCCCUGACUCCUUGAGAGUCCUGAAGGAACGUUGAAGACGACGACGUUGAUAGGCCGGGUGUGUAAGCGCAGCGAUGCGUUGAGCUAACCGGUACUAAUGAACCGUGAGGCUUAACCUUACAACGCCGAAGGUGUUU
rnacentral:rRNA from 1 species